CUCCCAUGGUGGCAAACCUUCGGAGUCGGUGCUGAUGGCCCCAAUCCUCAGUGACUAUGGCAAGGCCACGUUCGUUGACUACAAUCGGUUCGGCAACUACAGCCGGUCCGGUGAGAGGAAGAAAAAGGCAAAAAAAAACAUAGGACGGCUUUCUCCAUGGAAUCCAACAACCACAUAGAUGGCGGAGGCAUUAAAGAAACUAGAAACAAGAAGGAGAA
rnacentral:lncRNA from 1 species